AGUCACUGACAUUAGAUACCCGCGUAGUCCAGGGUGUAAACGCUGCAGACUUGGUGUUGGGAACCCUUCGGGGGUGCUCAGUGCCGGAGAGAAGUUGUUAAGUCUGCUACUUGGGGAGUACGUCCGCAAGGAUGAAACUUAAAGGAAUUGGCGGGGGAGCACCACAACGGGUGGAGCCUGCGGUUUAAUUGGACUCAACGCCGGAAAUCUCACCGGAUAGGACAGACAUAUGAUAGUCGGGCUGAAGACUCUACUUGAUGAUCUG
rnacentral:rRNA from 1 species